rnacentral:rRNA from 1 species
UGAUCCUGGCUCAGGAUGAACGCUAGCGGCAGGCUUAACACAUGCAAGUCGAGGGGCAUCGCGGGUAGCAAUACCUGGCGGGCGACCGGCGAAAGGGUGAGUAACGCGUGAGCAACAUGCCCGGUAGCGGGGGAUAGUCGAUGGAAACGUCGCGUAAUACCCCGUAACACACGUCUUCGCAUGGGGAUGUGUUGAAAGAUUUAUCGCUACCGGAUUGGCUCGCGUACCAUUAGCUAGUUGGCGGGGUAACGGCCCACCAAGGCGACGAUGGUUAGGGGUUCUGAGAGGAAGGUCCCCACAUUGGAACUGAGACACGGUCCAGACUCCUACGGGAGGCAGCAGUGAGGGAAUAUUGGUCAAUGGCCGAGAGGCUGAACCAGCCAUGCCGCGUGCGGGAGGACGGCCCUAUGGGUUGUAAACCGCUUUUGUAGGGAGCAAUAAGUCCCACGUGUGGGAUGAUGAGAGUACCUUGAGAAUAAGCAUCGGCUAACUCCGUGCC